rnacentral:rRNA from 1 species
AAUGAACGCUGGCGGCGUGCUUUACACAUGCAAGUCGAGCGAGGCGUGUAGCAAUACACAGUCGAGCGGCGAACGGGUGAGUAACGCGUGGAUACCUGCCCUGAAGUGGGGAAUAACCCGGGGAAACUCGGGCUAAUACCGCAUGACACCGAGAGGUCAAAGAGGGCCGCAAGGCUCUUGCUACAGGAGGGGUCCGCGUCCGAUUAGCUAGUUGGCAGGGUAAUGGCCUACCAAGGCGACGAUCGGUAGCCGGCCUGAGAGGGUGAUCGGCCACACUGGAACUGAGACACGGUCCAGACUCCUACGGGUGGCAG